GGGGGAGGUGACAUCUGCGCAGUCUUGAACACGUGGGGCAAGUAAUCAGGGAGGAAGAUCCCUGCCUGUGAAGAGAAUCUGGCAAAGUAGGCGGUUGUGAGAGCAGGCGUCCUGGAGAACCACCAGCCCACGCUCAAUCCACUGAGCUACGCCAGCCAGGGCUGAGGACAUGUUUAUACAACCACUUGUACAUGAACGUUUGUAGCAGCGACCUAAAUGUCAACUGAGGAGUGAAUAAAAUGUGACACAUCCGACCAGUGGGAUAUUAUUUCUGCCGCUAAGGUGCUCGGCCCGCCUAGGAAGAAGCCAAGGUCGCGUUGGGGUGAGGCCCUGGACUAGCCCCACUCGCUGCAGCACUCGCCCGCACUCGCCCAC